rnacentral:rRNA from 1 species
UACGUAGGGGGCAAGCGUUGUCCGGAUUGACUGGGCGUAAAGCGCACGCAGGCGGUCGUGCGCGUGGGGUGUGAAAUCUGGCCGCUUAACGGCCAGGCGCCAUCCCAUACGGCACGACUGGAGGGCUGCAGAGGUCGAUGGAAUUGCCGGUGUAGUGGUGAAAUGCGUAGAGAUCGGCAGGAACACCCAGGGGGAAACCAGUCGACUGGGCAGCACCUGACGCUGAGGUGCGAGAGCGUGGGGAGCGAACCGG